rnacentral:ncRNA from 1 species
UGAUCGACAAUGAUGGAGAAAAGUAGGUCGGACCCAGCCUUCCAGGGAGAAGAAGUCGAGACUGGAAGCUUCUUUAAGGUAUGGUUGAGUGAAGUUCUCUCCGGAGUUGCUAUACUGAAGAACAGUAGGUGUAGCCGGGGUUUCCUGCCGUUACAAAGGAACAGGUAUCGGACUUCCAUUCCCGUACCGGUAAUUAGCGGCCUUUUGGCAAUUUGGGUGGUACCGCGAAAUCUAGCAUUUCGUCCCUUAG